CCACGAGGUCGGACAAUGGCUCUAGGACGCAAGUUCUGGAGAGGAAAGUCCGGACAACUGAAUGGAUGAUGCCUAAUGAAAAUUAGGGCCUUUGCAGAAUGCAAAGUGACAGUUAGAGCCACAGAAACGAUCCGGGUGGCGCCGGGUGAAACGCCCAAGCCGCUGGGGACCAUGAUCGCGUGUCAAAGCGUGAUUUUGGGGGCAAUCCUCUCAGUUGCAACGAGCGAACUUGACCGCAUUGGACCCAUUCCCGAGAGCGCAAGCUCCGGUCAUACUGACUCGGCAUAGAUAGAUCAUUGUUAGAACAGAAUCCGGCUUAUGGACCAAGUGGGCUC
rnacentral:RNase_P_RNA from 2 species